rnacentral:rRNA from 1 species
UUUCGCAAUGCCCGAAAGGGUGACGAAGCGACGCCGCGUGGGUGAGGAAGGCCUUCGGGUUGUAAAGCCCUGUCAGGAGUUAAGAAAUGUAAGUGCGCUAAUAUCGCAUUUAUUUGACGAAGGCUCCAAAGGAAGCCACGGCUAACUCUGUGCCAGCAGCCGCGGUAAUACAGAGGCGGCAAGCGUUGUUCGGAAUUAUUGGGCGUAAAGAGCACGUAGGUGGGUUUGUAAGUCAGAUGUGAAAGCCUUCUGUUCAACGGAAGAAUUGCAUCUGAAACUGCGAGUCUUGAGUGUAGGAGGGGAGAAUGGAACUUCUGGUGGAGCGGUGAAAUGCGUAGAUAUCAGAAGGAACGCCGGCGGCGAAAGCGAUUCUCUGGCCUAUUACUGACACUCAGUGUGCGAAAGCUAGGGGAGCAAACGGGAUUAGAUACCCCGGUAGUCCUAGCCGUAAACGAUGGGCACUAAGUAGAGGGGUUUUA